CCUGCACGAGUACCACCGGCCGGAGUGGACCUUCCACGCCAAAGGUCUGUGGUAUUACCUCCAGGGGAAGGACCGGCCUUGCCUCACUCUAAUUGGCUCCCCUAAUUUUGGAUACCGCUCGGUUCACCGUGACCUGGAGGCCCAGAUCGCCAUAGUGACGGAGAACAAGGCGCUGCAGAGCCAGCUCCAGGAGGAGCAGGAGAGGUUGUAUCAGCGCUCCACCGAGGUGUCGAGCUCUACGUUCGAGCAGCCGGACCGUCAUGUCAAGUUGUGGGUGAAAUUAGUCACUCCCCUCAUCAAGAACUUCUUCUGAGACACCACCAGAGGGAGAAAGAGUGCUUUGGUUUCCUUUCGUCUUGAUGUCGAAGGUCACACCGGAGUCCGCAGAUGGGAGACUCGGGUACCAUCGGCAUGCUGGGAGUUUCCAACCUCACCUUGCUUAUAACUCAUUAGUGUGUCCCAGGAAGUGACUGACACAUACAGGAGGGAUGUAUGUGGUGAAUUCAGCGGGUAAACUUUCUUUUUGUAUCAAACUCCAGAUCCUGGUUUACCUGCACAGCUGUUAGAUUGAUUCACCACCUGAUGUCAUCACAUUAUAGUUUUUCUACUACAACAUUAAAAAAGAUUUCCUACCACUGCAAUGCAUUUCUUCAAGCUGCGAUAUAAAACAGACGGGUGUGGUGCAGAAAAACAAUCCCUGGAGGAGCCUAAUAACCGUUAAGAGAGUUUACAGCAGUAAUCAAAGCUAAAUGUACAGUUUGUUAUUAUCUUUGUAAAUUAAAGGACGAUGUGGACGAGUUUUU